AAUACUAAACCAUAAAUAAUGGGUUAAGUUGAUAUCUUAAAUAAUGUAAAAAUUUUUACUAGUAUUA
rnacentral:tRNA from 1 species